rnacentral:rRNA from 1 species
GAUGAACGCUGGCGGCGUGCCUAAUACAUGCAAGUCGAGCGAACAGACGAGGAGCUUGCUCCUUUGACGUUAGCGGCGGACGGGUGAGUAACACGUGGGUAACCUACCUAUAAGACUGGGUUAACUUCGGGAAACCGGAGCUAAUACCGGAUAAUAUUUCGAACCGCAUGGUUCGAUAGUGAAAGAUGGCUCUGCUAUCACUUAUAGAUGGACCUGCGCCGUAUUAGCUAGUUGGUAAGGUAACGGCUUACCAAGGCAACGAUACGUAGCCGACCUGAGAGGGUGAUCGGCCACACUGGAACUGAGACACGGUCCAGACUCCUACGGGAGGCAGCAGUAGGGAAUCUUCCGCAAUGGGCGAAAGCCUGACGGAGCAACGCCGCGUGAGUGAUGAAGGUCUUCGGAUCGUAAAACUCUGUUAUUAGGGAAGAACAAACGUGUAAGUAACUGUGCACGUCUUGACGGUACCUAAUCAGAAAGCCACGGCUAACUACGUG